rnacentral:rRNA from 1 species
CACGUAGGGUGCAAGCGUCGUCCGGAUUUAUUGGGCGUAAAGAGCUCGUAGGUGGUUCCGUAAGUCAGGUGUGAAACCUCCAGGCUCAACCUGGAGACGCCACCUGAUACUGCGGUGACUGGAGUCCGGUAGGGGAGCGUGGAAUUCCUGGUGUAGCGGUGAAAUGCGUUGAUAUCAGGAGGAACACCCAUGGCGAAGGCAGGUUACUGGGCAUUAUCUGACGCUGAGGCGCGAAAGCGUGGGUAGCAAACAGG